AUUGAACGCCGGCGGCAGGCCUAACACACGCAAGUCGAGCGGAGCGGCGGACGGGUGAGUAAUGCCUAGGAAUCUGCCUGGUAGUGGGGGAUAACGUCCGGAAACGGGCGCUAAUACCGCAUACUAUCAGAAGAGCCUAGGUCGGAUUAGCUAGUUGGCGGGGUAAAGGCCUACCAAGGCAACGAUCCGUAACUGGUCUGAGAGGAUGAUCAGUCACACUGUAACUUGUACACGUUCCAGACUCCUGCGGGUGGCAGCAGUGGGAAAUAUUGGACUAUGUGCGAAAGCCUUAUCCAGCCAUGCCGCGUGUGUGAAGAAGGUCUUCGGAUUGUAAAGCACUUUAAGUUGGGAGGCGUUACCAACAGAAUAAGCACCGGCUAACUUCGUGCCAGCAGCCGCGGUAGUUC
rnacentral:rRNA from 1 species